CCUACGUGAGGCAGCAGUAGGGAAUCUUCCACAAUGGGCGAAAGCCUGAUGUCUCCCCGCCGCUUUUUUUCCUCCUUUCUUCUUCUCUUCCCCCCCUUUUUUUCUCUAAGAACGUGCGUGAGAGUAACUGUUCACGUUUCGACGGUAUCUAACCAGAAAGCCACGGCUAACUACGUGCCAGCAGCCGCGGUAAUACGUAGGUGGCAAGCGUUAUCCGGAUUUAUUGGGCGUAAAGGGAACGCAGGCGGUCUUUUAAGUCUGAUGUGAAAGCCUUCGGCUUAACCGGAGUAGUGCAUUGGAAACUGGGAGACUUGAGUGCAGAAGAGGAGAGUGGAACUCCAUGUGUAGCGGUGAAAUGCGUAGAUAUAUGGAAGAACACCAGUGGCGAAAGCGGCUCUCUGGUCUGUAACUGACGCUGAGGUUCGAAAGCGUGGGUAGCAAACAGGAUUAGAUACCCCAGUAGUC
rnacentral:rRNA from 1 species